rnacentral:rRNA from 1 species
AUUAAACGCUGGCGGCAUGCCUUACACAUGCAAGUCGAACGGCAGCACGGGGGCAACCUUGGUGGCGAGUGGCGAACGGGUGAGUAAAGCAUCGGAACGUGCCCUGGAGUGGGGGGAUAACGUAGCGAAAGUUACGCUAAUACCGCAUAUUCUGUGAGCAGGAAAGCAGGGGAUCGCAAGACCUUGCGCUCUGGGAGCGGCCGAUGUCGGAUUAGCUAGUUGGUGGGUAAAGGCCUACCAAGGCGACGAUCCGUAGCGGGUCUGAGAGGAUGAUCCGCCACACUGGGACUGAGACACGGCCCAGACUCCUACGGGAGGCAGCAGUGGGGAAUUUUGGACAAUGGGCGAAAGCCUGAUCCAGCCAUGCCGCGUGAGUGAAGAAGGCCUGGUGUAAG